rnacentral:rRNA from 1 species
CCUACGGGGGGAAGAAGGGGGGAAUAUUGGACAAUGGGCGAAAGCCUGAUCCAGCCAUGCCGCGUGUGUGAAGAAGGCCUUCGGGUUGUAAAGCACUUUCAGUGGGGAAGAAAGCCUUGGGGCUAAUACCCUCGAGGAAGGACAUCACCCACAGAAGAAGCACCGGCUAACUCCGUGCCAGCAGCCGCGGUAAUACGGAGGGUGCGAGCGUUAAUCGGAAUUACUGGGCGUAAAGCGCGCGUAGGCGGUCUGAUAAGCCGGUUGUGAAAGCCCGGGGCUCAACCUGGGAACGGCAUCCGGAACUGUCAGGCUAGAGUGCAGGAGAGGAAGGUAGAAUUCCCGGUGUAGCGGUGAAAUGCGUAGAGAUCGGGAGGAAUACCAGUGGCGAAGGCGGCCUUCUGGACUGACACUGACGCUGAGGUGCGAAAGCGUGGGUAGCAAACAGGAUUAGAUACCCUAGUAGUC